rnacentral:rRNA from 1 species
CGAUGUCGGCUCAUCACAUCCUGGGGCUGUAGUAGGUCCCAAGGGUUGGGCUGUUCGCCCAUUAAAGUGGUACGCGAGCUGGGUUCAGAACGUCGUGAGACAGUUCGGUCCCUAUCCGUCGCAGGCGGAGGAAAUUUGAGAAGACCUGUCCUUAGUACGAGAGGACCGGGAUGGACGUACCUCUGGUGUACCAGUUGUCCUGCCAAGGGCAUGGCUGGGUAGCUAUGUACGGAAUGGAUAAGCGCUGAAAGCAUCUAAGCGCGAAGCCAACUUCAAGAUAAGAUUUCCCACCGCAAGGGUAAGACCCCAGAAAGACUAUCUGGUUG